rnacentral:rRNA from 1 species
GAUGAACGCUGGCGGCGUGCCUAAUACAUGCAAGUCGAGCGAACAGACGAGGAGCUUGCUCCUCUGACGUUAGCGGCGGACGGGUGAGUAACACGUGGAUAACCUACCUAUAAGACUGGGAUAACUUCGGGAAACCGGAGCUAAUACCGGAUAAUAUAUUGAACCGCAUGGUUCAAUAGUGAAAGACGGUUUUGCUGUCACUUAUAGAUGGAUCCGCGCCGCAUUAGCUAGUUGGUAAGUUAACGGCUUACCAAGGCAACGAUGCGUAGCCGACCUGCGAGGGUGAUCGGCCACACUGGAACUGAGACACGGUCCAGACUCCUACGGGAGGCCGCAGUAGGGAAUCUUCCGCAAUGGGCGAAAGCCUGACGGAGCAACGCCGCGUGAGUGAUGAAGGUCUUCGGAUCGUAAAACUCUGUUAUUAGGGAAGAACAAAUGUGUAAGUAACUAUGCACGUCUUGACGGUACCUAAUCAGAAAGCCACGGCUAACUACGUG